rnacentral:pre_miRNA from 1 species
CAGCUACUCCCUCCGUCCGGAAUUACUUGUCACAAAAAUGAAUGUAUCUACAACUAAAAUACAUCUAGAUACAUUCAUUUCUUGGACGAGUAAUUCCGAACGGAGGAAGUAGCAG